GGCCCUAUCGUCUAUCGGUUAGGACACAAGCUUCUCAAGCUUGGAAGCCGGGUUCGAUUCCCGGUAGGGUCACAA
rnacentral:tRNA from 2 species